rnacentral:rRNA from 1 species
GUCCAUGCCGUAAACGAUGAUUACUAGGUGUGGGUGGUCUGACCCCAUCCGUGCCGGAGUUAACACAAUAAGUAAUCCACCUGGGGAGUACGGCCGCAAGGUUGAAACUCAAAAGGAAUUGACGGGGGCCCGCACAAGCAGUGGAGUAUGUGGUUUAAUUCGAAGCAACGCGAAGAACCUUACCAGGUCUUGACAUCCUGCUAACGAGGUAGAGAUACGUUAGGUGCCCUUGGGAAAGCAGAGACAGGUGGUGCAUGGUUGUCGU